rnacentral:rRNA from 1 species
UACGGAGGAUGCAAGCGUUAUCCGGAUUUAUUGGGUUUAAAGGGUGUGCAGGUUGUUUGAUAAGUCAGUGGUGAAAGUCUGUCGCUUAACGGUAGGAUUGCCAUUGAUACUGUUGGACUUGAAUAUGGAUGAGGUAGGCGGAAUGUGUAGUGUAGCGGUGAAAUGCAUAGAUAUUACACAGAAUAUCGAUUGCGAAGGCAGCUCACAAAGCCAAGAUUGACGCUGAGGCACGAAAGUGUGGGGAUCAAA